CUGAAUGCAGAUAGACACCCAUCCCAUAGUAACAAGGCUGAAUGCAGAUAGAUACCCAUCCCAUAGUAACAAGGCUGAAUGCAGAUAGAUACCCAUCCCAUAGUUAGUAGCAAGGCUGAAUGCAGAUAGAUACCCACCCCAUAGUAACAAGGCUGAAUGCAGAUAGACACCCAUCCCAUAGUAACAAGGCUGAAUGCAGAUAGAUACCCAUCCCAUAGUAACAAGGCUGAAUGCAGAUAGACACCCAUCCCAUCGUAACAAGGCUGAAUGCAGAUAGAUACCCAUCCCAUCGUAACAAGGCUGAAUGCAGAUAGAUACCCAUCCCAUAGUUAGUGGCAAGGCUGAAUGCAGAUAGACACCCAUCCCAUAGUAACAAGGCUGAAUGCAGAUAGAUACCCACCCCAUAGUAACAAGGCUGAAUGCAGAUAGAUACCAUCCCAUAGUAACAAGGCUGAAUGCAGAUAGACACCCAUCCCAUAGUAACAAGGCUGAAUGCAGAUAGAUGCCCAUCCCAUAGUUAGUAGUAAGGCUGAAUGCAGAUAGAUACCCAUCCCAUAGUAGCAAGGCUGAAUGCAGAUAGAUACCCACCACAUAGUAACAAGGCUGAAUGCAGAUAGACAGCAAUCCCAUAGUAACAAGACUGAAUGCAGAUAGA
ensembl:lncRNA